rnacentral:lncRNA from 1 species
GAACUGUAAAAAAAUACAAUCACUCAGCUGACGGGCAGGCUCCUUAUCGUGGAUGCAGGAGAGGGACCACCAGAAAGCUGAGACAGGCUGUCUAGACAUUGCAGAUGUGGACAGAUGUUGGGUCUGUAAUUUAUAACAACGGCCUCCAGAAGGCAAUUCCAAUUUGUUUCGCACUAGGAACUGAGCCCAGGACCUCCAACAACACACCAGUCAAGAACUCUACUACUGAGUUAUCCUCCCAACCUCUAGUAUGGGUAGAGGGAUCCUGGAAGACAGCCCGGAGGAAGAAGUCACCAUUUGCUACAGAGGGGACAAAUGGCUCAGAAUGGCAAUUCAGGGCCCCCAGCUUUCUGUUUUUAGGUACGCGUUCACACUGCACACGGGGAGUGUGUGAGUGUGUACACACAAGUAUACCCUGGACCAGGGCUCAGACCCCUCCAUCGUUCCCAACCUGCAGCUGCUCCCAGAGCCGACUCUGUGAUUUGUAGUGCAGGCCACCCAGGGACUUUAAUCUUCACCGUGACAAAUGCAAUAAAAGGAACAAUUUGGAGAUCAGA